CACACAUUAAGGAGAUGUUACCCAACCUUGACUCCAGAGCAGUGAUUGAAUACAGUCUUCUUCUGGCUUCUGCUCUGGAGAUAUCCGGGAUGAGUGACAUAGUUGAUGGAGAUAGUCUGAUUUCUUGGUUUGACGAUAUACUUGUGCCGGGAAUAAAGAAAUUUCAGAGUUCAGUCACCAGUAACCUUGGAAAUUACUUGGUGGCAUAUGCCAGAGCUUCUUCCAUUUCUGAGAUUCUGAGAGUGAUCAACCCCAAAUGCUCUUAUUUUAUUGGUGACGAACGAAGAAAGCAAAUUGGAGUUGCCGUACUACUCAAGCAAUUCUUGAAAGGCUUAGACUUUAAGGAAAUACCGCACGAAGAGGAAAGUGGGAUUAGGAAAAAGCUUAGGAGACGUGCGAAUGUGAAGACAACUGCCACCCAGUAUUUUCUGGCCGAGAAGAAUGAAGGAACAAAAAUCACACGAGAGAAUGGUGUAGGCCAUUCCUGCAUGAUCGCUCCCCAUUCAGAUGUACCCCAGGAAUUUUUUGACAUUGU